rnacentral:rRNA from 1 species
ACUGGAACUGAGACACGGUCCAGACUCCUACGGGAGGCAGCAGUGGGGAAUAUUGCACAAUGGGGGAAACCCUGAUGCAGCCAUGCCGCGUGUGUGAAGAAGGCCUUCGGGUUGUAAAGCACUUUCAGCGAGGAGGAAAGGUUGGCGCCUAAUACGUGCCAACUGUGACGUUACUCGCAGAAGAAGCACCGGCUAACUCCGUGCCAGCAGCCGCGGUAAUACGGAGGGUGCAAGCGUUAAUCGGAAUUACUGGGCGUAAAGCGCACGCAGGCGGUUGGAUAAGUUAGAUGUGAAAGCCCCGGGCUCAACCUGGGAAUUGCAUUUAAAACUGUCCAACUAGAGUCUUGUAGAGGGGGGUAGAAUUCCAGGUGUAGCGGUGAAAUGCGUAGAGAUCUGGAGGAAUACCGGUGGCGAAGGC